CCGCCGCGGCUCGCCGGCCGCUGCCUCAGCGCUGCCCGGGGGCCGCGAGCCUCCUCCCGGCGCCGCCCUGGGGCUUCCCCAGCAGCGGGGAGGCGGACGUUGAGUAUAUAGAAUAACGAGUGUUAUCGAAAGAAAAGGGUGGAAGUAGAGCGAAUGAAUGCACGGAGGAUUUUAAUGGAACGCCUUUGUAAACAAACCCUAUUGAAAGAAGCAGAAGAUGGCCUGAGUAGUUGGGCACCUGCCAUCCCCAUUGGAGACCCAGAUUCAGUUCCAGGCUCCUGGCCCAGCCCCAGCUCUGACCACUGAAGCCUUUUGGGAAGUGAACCAGCGGAUGGAAGACCUCUUUCUCUCUCACCCUCUCUCUGUGUAAUUCUUCCUUACCAAAUAAAUAAAUAU